AACGCUGGCGGCACGCUUAACACAUGCAAGUCGAACGAAGAUGUUUCACCGUAGCUUGCUACACCGAGACAUUUUAGUGGCGGACGGGUGAGUAACACGUGAGCAAUCUGCCUUUCAGAGGGGGAUACCAGUUGGAAACGACUGUUAAUACCGCAUAACAUAUCGAGAUCGCAUGAUAUUGAUAUCAAAGAUUUAUCGCUGAAAGAUGAGCUCGCGUCUGAUUAGCUAGUUGGUGAGGUAACGGCUCACCAAGGCAACGAUCAGUAGCCGACCUGAGAGGGUAAUCGGCCACAUUGGAACUGAGACACGGUCCAAACUCCUACGGGAGGCAGCAGUGGGGAAUAUUGCACAAUGGGGGAAACCCUGAUGCAGCAACGCCGCGUGAAGGAUGAAGGCCUUUGGGUCGUAAACUUCUGUCCUUGAGGAAGAUAAUGACGGUACUCUUGGAGGAAGCCCCGGCUAACUACGUG
rnacentral:rRNA from 1 species